rnacentral:rRNA from 1 species
UACGUAGGGUGCAAGCGUUGUCCGGAAUUAUUGGGCGUAAAGAGCUCGUAGGCGGUUUGUCGCGUCGUCCGUGAAAACUUGGGGCUCAACCCCAAGCUUGCGGGCGAUACGGGCAGACUUGAGUACUGCAGGGGAGACUGGAAUUCCUGGUGUAGCGGUGAAAUGCGCAGAUAUCAGGAGGAACACCGGUGGCGAAGGCGGGUCUCUGGGCAGUAACUGACGCUGAGGAGCGAAAGCGUGGGGAGCGAACAGG